UUAAAUUUUAUUAUGUAUAUUUGUAAAUAUUUAAUUUAUUAAAAUUAUUAUUUUAAAUUUAUUUAAUAUAUAAUAAUUAUCAUAUAAAAAAAUUAAUAAGAAUUAUAGAAUAUUUUAAAGAAUAUUCCUUUUUGGUGUGAUAUGGUGAUGAUGGGUUGGAGUUGAAAUAGUGUUUGGUGUUGAAAUAGCACCAUUUGGUGUGAAAAUUGCACCAAAUUUGGUGAUGCGGAUUGGAGAUGGUCUAAGCAAACAAAUAUGGGGUGAGCUGUAUAAAGUACUAGAUGGUCGGGACCUCUAGGUACAAGAUGCUAUCACUUGGAGAAGCACUCAAAGGAGUACUUUUGGGUGAAACACUUAAAGGAGCACUUAGAGGUACCAGAUGUUUUACAAUUAAUAUCAAUAAUGAUGAAGUAAGAAGUGAUCGAAUUUGUCUACUCUUAUAUGGAUGUCCAAGAGUCGUGUAUGCUAUAAUAUAAAUCUUUGGGUUGUACACAUUUUUUUUCCUUCUCUUUUCUUAUUGAAUUAAAUUGCCAUCUAUGUGCCACUAGCUGACAUGUGGGUGCUUGUGAUUGGGUUUCGGAUUGCUUGUACUUUGUGCGAUUUUGCAACUAGAGUGGAUGCAAUCAAUUAUGCAACAUUUGAAUUUUUGUUAACAUGUAUCUCUUUCACAAGUCUGAAAGCUAUCAAUAAGCUUCAUUCUUUAAAAUCAAAUUAAGAUGUUCAGAUUGGGGAUAGGGUUUCUUUUGUAAUUGUUUACACAGUUUACAACAAUAAUAAUGGAUCGAACUUGACAAGGACGGAUGAUAAAUUAGCUGAUACUGUGACUGUUGGGAGCAAUUUCUACAAUAAAGUUGAAAGAUCUAUGGUCAUUCUUAAUGUGUUCAUUGACAAUACAGGUAAUUUGCCUUCGUAUAACUCAAGUUUACCACCCCUAUCCAACUAUUUUGUAGUCAGAUGCAUAUGAAUAGAAAUUUGCUAAUAUUCCAUCAAGGAGGAAGAUAAAGUAGAUGGUUAGGAGACUUGGUCAGACAUAAUCUAUUUGGAAAGGGCCUAAGCAAACAAAUAUGGGGUGAGCUGUAUAAAGUACUAGAUGGUCGGGACCUCUAGGUACAAGAUGCUGCCACUUGGAGAAGAACUCAAAGGAGUACUUUUGGGGUGAAACACUUAGGCUACGUUUGAUUGGGUGUAAUGUAAUUUAGCUUGUAAUGUAAUGUAAUGUAUGUAAUCUUUGAUUACAAAGGUAAUUACAUUCUUUUGUUUGGUGUCCA